AUUAUAAACGAUAUUGGAUAACAUGUAGUGAACAAUAAAAGUUGAAAAU
rnacentral:guide_RNA from 1 species